rnacentral:tRNA from 1 species
GUUGUAGCUCAGUGGUAGAGUAUUUGCCUUGCAUGUGGAAGGUACUGGGUUUGAGACUCAGCACACA